ACAUUGCCUGUAGUGAGGUCCUCUUGCAGCGUUUCAUCAUCUUCAGCCAGCACUGGGGGGCACAGACCGUGCGUGACACCCUGUGUCCCCUCUCCCAGGUCACCCUACAGUGGAUAGAAGACACUCUGUAUGCCAACGUGGACUUCUUCAAACUCUUCCGUGUGCUCCCCACACUCCUAGACAGCAGUUCUCAAGGUAUCAACUUGAGAUUUUGGGGAGGAAUAUUAUCUGAUAUGUCACCAAGAAUACAAAAGGUAAGAAGCCGAAUGCCAUUAACUAUAGUUUUAUGAUACCUUUACACUGUUUCAAUCACACUUAUUAUAGAAAAUAAUUUAAUUGUAC
rnacentral:lncRNA from 1 species